rnacentral:lncRNA from 1 species
CCGCGGGAGAAGGAUGAGCCACAGAGCUGCCCGUCCCCAGGAACUCAGGGCAGCUCCAGCCCCAGCAGCCACUGAGGGAGGCCGUGGGGACCACUCAGGUGGUCAGUAGAGACCCCGCAGUGGCCAGUCCUUGGAGGGCAGCCAAACUGUCCCUAGAGCAAAGUCACUGGAGAUCUGCUCUAACAAACUUAUUUUUAAAAAAAAAAAAAAUCCACAAAAGAUCAAGGUGAGCCGCUAACUGAUGGCAUCUUUUAAAUGGAACUCCACCCUGGGGCCAGGUUAACAGAACAAGAAAACAGCGUUCGCCACAGAAGCCACCCACAGACUAGAACCCAGGGAAAUGUAACCAAAUGUCAGCAGAAAUAGGCCCCGAAAUGACAGCGAUGAUAGAACUGUCAGACAAGGACCCUGAAAGAACAAUUAAAACAGACUUUGAAGAAAAAGGGCAACAGGAUGAGAGAAAUAGGAGUUAUUAAAAAAGGACUCAGUGAAGCUUCCUGAAACCUGAAAUGAAAGUUAUGCUGAGCCGGGUGGGCACACCUGCCAUCCCAGUAACUCGGGAGGCCGAGGCAGGAGC